UAAUAAGAAGCUAUUAGCACUCAGUUUCGACCUGAAAGACAGGUAAGUUUACCCUUAUUAU
rnacentral:tRNA from 1 species